rnacentral:rRNA from 1 species
UGAGCAUGUGGUUUAAUUCGAUGCAACGCGAAGAACCUUACCUACUCUUGACAUCCAGAGAACUUUCCAGAGAUGGAUUGGUGCCUUCGGGAACUCUGAGACAGGUGCUGCAUGGCUGUCGUCAGCUCGUGUUGUGAAAUGUUGGGUUAAGUCCCGCAACGAGCGCAACCCUUAUCCUUGUUUGCCAGCGAGUAAUGUCGGGAACUCCAGGGAGACUGCCGGUGAUAAACCGGAGGAAGGUGGGGACGACGUCAAGUCAUCAUGGCCCUUACGAGUAGGGCUACACACGUGCUACAAUGGCGCAUACAGAGGGCAGCAAGCUAGCGAUAGUGAGCGAAUCCCAAAAAGUGCGUCGUAGUCCGGAUUGGAGUCUGCAACUCGACUCCAUGAAGUCGGAAUCGCUAGUAAU